UGUAUAAUGGGUCAGCGACUUAUAUUCUGUAGCAAGGUUAACCGAAUAGGGGAGCCGAAGGGAAACCGAGUCUUAACUGGGCGUUAAGUUGCAGGGUAUAGACCCGAAACCCGGUGAUCUAGCCAUGGGCAGGUUGAAGGUUGGGUAACACUAACUGGAGGACCGAACCGACUAAUGUUGAAAAAUUAGCGGAUGACUUGUGGCUGGGGGUGAAAGGCCAAUCAAACCGGGAGAUAGCUGGUUCUCCCCGAAAGCUAUUUAGGUAGCGCCUCGUGAAUUCAUCUCCGGGGGUAGAGCACUGUUUCGGCAAGGGGGUCAUCCCGACUUACCAACCCGAUGCAAACUGCGAAUACCGGAGAAUGUUAUCACGGGAGACACACGGCGGGUGCUAACGUCCGUCGUGAAGAGGGAAACAACCCAGACCGCCAGCUAAGGUCCCAAAGUCAUGGUUAAGUGGGAAACGAUGUGGGAAGGCCCAGACAGCCAGGAUGUUGGCUUAGAAGCAGCCAUCAUUUAAAGAAAGCGUAAUAGCUCACUGGUCGAGUCGGCCUGCGCGGAAGAUGUAACGGGGCUAAACCAUGCACCGAAGCUGCGGCAGCGACACUAUGUGUUGUUGGGUAGGGGAGCGUUCUGUAAGCCUGCGAAGGUGUAC
rnacentral:rRNA from 1 species